rnacentral:rRNA from 1 species
AGCAGUAGCCACGGUAAUACAGAGGGUGCGAGCGUUAAUCGGAUUUACUGGGCGUAAAGCGUGCGUAGGCGGCUUUUUAAGUCGGAUGUGAAAUCCCUGAGCUUAACUUAGGAAUUGCAUUCGAUACUGGGAAGCUAGAGUAUGGGAGAGGAUGGUAGAAUUCCAGGUGUAGCGGUGAAAUGCGUAGAGAUCUGGAGGAAUACCGAUGGCGAAGGCAGCCAUCUGGCCUAAUACUGACGCUGAGGUACGAAAGCAUGGGGAGCAAACAGGAUUAGAUACCCGGGUAGUCCCUGUCUCUUAUAA